AACCGCCGUAUGCCGAACGGCACGUACGGUGGUGUGAGAGGUCGGGGAGGGAAUUAAUCCCUCGCCUCCUACUCGAU
rfam:Bacteroidetes bacterium GWE2_29_8 gwe2_scaffold_1704, whole genome shotgun sequence.